GACGAACGCUGGCGGCGUGCUUAACACAUGCAAGUCGAACGAUGAAGCUGGAGCUUGCUCCGGUGGAUUAGUGGCGAACGGGUGAGUAACACGUGAGCAAUCUGCCCUUGACUCUGGGAUAACUGCGGGAAACUGUAGCUAAUACCGGAUACGAGGCUCGAAGGCAUCUUCGGGUCUGGAAAGAAUUUCGGUCAAGGAUGAGCUCGCGGCCUAUCAGCUUGUUGGUGAGGUAAUGGCUCACCAAGGCGACGACGGGUAGCCGGCCUGAGAGGGGGACCGGCCACACUGGGACGUAGACACGGCCCCGACUCCGACGGGAGGCAGCAGUGGGUAAUAUUGCACAAUGGGCGAAAGCCAUAUGCAGCAACGCCGCGUGGGGGAUGAAGGCCUUCGGGUUGUAAACCUCUUUUAGCAGGGAAGAAGCGAAAGUUACGGUACCUGCAGAAAAAGCACCGGCUAACUACGUGCCAGCCGCCGCCGUAA
rnacentral:rRNA from 1 species